UACAGAGGUCCCAAGCGUUGUUCGGAUUCACUGGGCGUAAAGGGUGCGUAGGUGGUGAGGUAAGUCGGAUGUGAAAUCUCCGAGCUCAACUCGGAAAUGGCAUUGGAAACUACCUUGCUCGAGGGUUGGAGGGGGACUGGAAUGCUUGGUGUAGCAGUGAAAUGCGUAGAUAUCAAGCGGAACACCAGUGGCGAAGGCGAGUCCCUGGACAACUCCGUGACAUGAGGCACGAAAGCUAGGGGAGCAAACAGG
rnacentral:rRNA from 1 species